AUAAGAAGAGGUUGCACAAGCCAUCAGUACUUCAUUUAUGGUUGGUAAAGACAAACGGAUGGAGAAAAGGGGCUUGUGCCGAAAUCAACGUUAGUUUACCCUGGCGCUGGUUGGGACGUUAUCCGAAAGGGUACGGACUGUCGUAAGAAUACUUACGGAGCGCUUCA
rnacentral:ncRNA from 1 species